rnacentral:rRNA from 1 species
CCUACGGGGGGCUGCAGUGGGGAAUAUUGGACAAUGGGCGAAAGCCUGAUCCAGCCAUGCCGCGUGUGUGAAGAAGGCCUUCGGGUUGUAAAGCACUUUCAGUGGGGAAGAAAGCCUUGGGGCUAAUACCCUCGAGGAAGGACAUCACCCACAGAAGAAGCACCGGCUAACUCCGUGCCAGCAGCCGCGGUAAUACGGAGGGUGCGAGCGUUAAUCGGAAUUACUGGGCGUAAAGCGCGCGUAGGCGGUCUGAUAAGCCGGUUGUGAAAGCCCCGGGCUCAACCUGGGAACGGCAUCCGGAACUGUCAGGCUAGAGUGCAGGAGAGGAAGGUAGAAUUCCCGGUGUAGCGGUGAAAUGCGUAGAGAUCGGGAGGAAUACCAGUGGCGAAGGCGGCCUUCUGGACUGACACUGACGCUGAGGUGCGAAAGCGUGGGUAGCAAACAGGAUUAGAUGCCCUGGUAGUC